GACGAACGCUGGCGGCGUGCUUAACACAUGCAAGUCGAACGGAAAGGCCCUGCUUUUGUGGGGUGCUUGAGUGGCGAACGGGUGAGUAACACGUGAGUAACCUGCCCUUGAAUUUGGGAUAACUUCAGGAAACUGGGGCUAAUACCGGAUAGGAGCUCCUGCUGCAUGGUGGGGGUUGGAAAGUUUCGGCGGUUGGGGAUGGACUCGCGGCUUAUCAGCUUGUUGGUGGGGUAGUGGCUUACCAAGGCUUUGACGGGUAGCCGGCCUGAGAGGGUGACCGGCCACAUGAGGACUAAGAUACGGCCCAGACUCCUACGGGAGGCAGCAGUGGGGAAUAUUACACAAUGGGCGGAAGCCUGAUGCAGCAACGCCGCGUGCGGAAUGACGGCCUUCGAGUUAUAAACCGCUUUCGCCUGUGACGAAGCGUGAGUGACGGUAAUGGGUAAAGAAGCACCGGCUAACUACGUG
rnacentral:rRNA from 1 species